AUAAUGCCUCCCUGCAGGAAAAAAAAAAAAAAAAAGGGAAAAGAAAAAAAAAAAACCCUCUGGUCAGAGGAACUCUGGGUCGUGAAACAGGCCACGUGAACAUUCUGCCCUAUAGACUUAUGACCCAACGGCUGUCACGCUUUUGGAGGGCGGGCUAAAAACCUAAGAGGGCGAACGUCAUUGGCCGGAACUCGCACUAACGGAGGAAGAGGAUUGGUUUGCUGUAGGCCUUAGCAGUGAAGAAGCAGGUUGCUAGCACCCGCCUUUACUGCGGCGAAGUGUCAUUGCUGACGUGGGAGUGGUUGUCCAAUCAUUUGGUUAUGGAACAUUCUAAAACUUAGACAAGACGAUUGUGAUUGGCUGAAGGGCAUACGCCCUCCUCCAGGGUGACGUGUCUGCCUAUGGAUAUCAGUUGCCAGAGAAACCUGGCUUUACUAUGGCGGUUGGAGGAACGGCAGUGAUCACACGUCGGCUGCUGGGAAGAUCUGGAUUCUCGUUUCAGGUCACCAUCAGAAAAGCUAAGUUUGCUGUAUAGUGAGGAUCAGGAGGUCUGAUCCUGAUUGCAGAACCUUCCCUGAUUACAGAAUCUUGGAUACCUGCCUUUCUUUCUAGGUUGUAUCUCCCACUUCACCCUUCUAGACCAUCCCAGAAGAUCUAUAAGAUUUCAUCUGGGAAAUCACUAGGAGUUCUUGGAAGGGAAAGAAGGAAGAUUGUGAUGCAGUCAGCUCACAGCGACCCUGAAAGAGAAAAUGAAAUGAGAGGGAAUAAAUGCUUGACUUCGCUGUCUUCCGAACAUCUGCUGGGUAUUUCCCUUUGGCCAAAUUGGAAGCUGGAGGGCAAGGAAGACCUUUUGUAUAGUCUGUGUUGGUAAGUGUGGGGGACACAGAGCAGGAAGGAAA
rnacentral:lncRNA from 1 species